rnacentral:rRNA from 1 species
AAUAGAUACCCCGGUAGUCCAUGCCGUAAACGUUGGGAACUAGAUGUGGGGACCAUUCCACGGUCUCCGUGUCGCAGCUAACGCAUUAAGUUCCCCGCCUGGGGAGUACGGCCGCAAGGCUAAAACUCAAAGGAAUUGACGGGGGCCCGCACAAGCGGCGGAGCAUGCGGAUUAAUUCGAUGCAACGCGAAGAACCUUACCAAGGCUUGACAUAUACGAGAACGCUGCAGAAAUGUAGAACUCUUUGGACACUCGUAUACAGGUGGUGCAUGGUUGUCGCCAGCUCGUGUCGUGAGAUGUUGGGUUAAGUCCCGCAACGAGCGCAACCCUCGUCGUAUGUUGCUAGCACGUAAUGGUGGGAACUCAUAUGAGACUGCCGGGGUCAACUCGGAGGAAGGUGGGGAUGAGGUCAAAUCAUCAUGCCCCUUAUGUCUUGGGCUUCACGCAUGCUACAAUGGCCGGUACAAAGGGCUGCAAUACCGCAAGGUGGAGCGAAUCCCGAAAAACGCCGGUCUCAGUUCGGAUUGAGGU